rnacentral:rRNA from 1 species
GAUGAACGCUGGCGGCGUGCCUAAUACAUGCAAGUCGAGCGAACAGACGAGGAGCUUGCUCCUCUGACGUUAGCGGCGGACGGGUGAGUAACACGUGGAUAACCUACCUAUAAGACUGGGAUAACUUCGGGAAACCGGAGCUAAUACCGGAUAAUAUAUUGAACCGCAUGGUUCAAUAGUGAAAGACGGUUUUGCUGUCACUUAUAGAUGGAUCCGCGCCGCAUUAGCUAGUUGGUAAGGUAACGGCCUACCAAGGCGACGAUGCGUAGCCGACCUGAGAGGGUGAUCGGCCACACUGGAACUGAGACACGGUCCAGACUCCUACGGGAGGCAGCAGUAGGGAAUCUUCCGCAAAGGGCGAAAGCCUGACGGAGCAACGCCGCGUGAGUGAUGAAGGUCUUCGGAUCGUAAAACUCUGUUAUUAGGGAAGAACAAAUGUGUAAGUAACUAUGCACGUCUUGACGGUACCUAAUCAGAAAGCCACGGCUAACUACGUG